GUGGGGAAUUUUGGACAAUGGGCGCAAGCCUGAUCCAGCAAUGCCGCGUGCAGGAAGAAGGCCUUCGGGUUGUAAACUGCUUUUGUACGGAACGAAACGGUCCUGGUUAAUAUCUGGGGCUAAUGACGGUACCGUAAGAAUAAGCACCGGCUAACUACGUGCCAGCAGCCGCGGUAAUACGUAGGGUGCGAGCGUUAAUCGGAAUUACUGGGCGUAAAGCGUGCGCAGGCGGUUUUGUAAGACAGGCGUGAAAUCCCCGGGCUUAAACUGGGAAUUGCGCUUGUGACUGCAAGGCUGGAGUGCGGCAGAGGGGGAUGGAAGUCCGCGUGUAGCAGUGAAAUGCGUAGAUAUGCGGAGGAACACCGAUGGCGAAGGCAAUCCCCUGGGCCUGCACUGACGCUCAUGCACGAAAGCGUGGGGAGCAAACAGGAUUAGAUACCCUUGUAGUCC
rnacentral:rRNA from 1 species